UACGAAGGGGGCUAGCGUUGUUCGGAAUUACUGGGCGUAAAGCGUGCGCAGGCGGCUUCUCAAGUCAGGGGUGAAAGCCCAGAGCUCAACUCUGGAAUUGCCUUUGAGACUGAGUGGCUUGAGUACGGGAGAGGUGAGUGGAAUUCCCAGUGUAGAGGUGAAAUUCGUAGAUAUUGGGAAGAACACCGGUGGCGAAGGCGGCUCACUGGCCCGUAACUGACGCUCAUGCACGACAGCGUGGGGAUUAAACAGG
rnacentral:rRNA from 1 species